rnacentral:rRNA from 1 species
UACGAAGGGGGCUAGCGUUGUUCGGAAUUACUGGGCGUAAAGCGCAUGUAGGCGGAUUGUUAAGUCGGGGGUGAAAUCCUGAGGCUCAACCUCAGAACUGCCUUCGAUACUGGCGAUCUUGAGUUCGGAAGAGGUUGGUGGAACAGCUAGUGUAGAGGUGAAAUUCGUAGAUAUUAGCUAGAACACCAGUGGCGAAGGCGGCCAACUGGUCCGAUACUGACGCUGAGACACGAAAGCGUGGGGAGCAAACAGG